rnacentral:lncRNA from 1 species
AUUUCAGGCAAGGUCCUAUGGCCUGUCGGGGGCUCUGGGCCUUAAACCCUACAUGGGCCCCUGAUUGUUGGCAGGCACACAAGAGCUGUGGAGGCAUGAAAAACUCAGCAAUGCCUAAGUGAAACUUGGUGAGAUGUAAAAAGCGGGAGAGUCACAAGAUCUUCAAGCAACCUGUGGCGCAGUUGUGGUGGAGCCCAGAGAAUGCUCCACAGAUGUUCCAGACUCUCUAGAAGCUUUCCCAACACACGCCAUGAUCCUGGAAGCAGAACACAGAGAGCCCUGGGAUCUUGCAGGAGGGGAAGCAAGAGGACAACAAGCCUCUGCCCCUGUGCCACCUCAGCAUUCAGUGUGGGUCCAGUAAUCUGUAUCAUAUCUAGGAUACUGUGAAUGAAACUUCCCAGAAAGAAGCUGUGCCUUCAAACUGAG